rnacentral:rRNA from 1 species
CAGCCGCCGCGGUAAUACAGAGGGUGCGAGCGUUAAUCGGAUUUACUGGGCGUAAAGCGUGCGUAGGCGGCUUUUUAAGUCGGAUGUGAAAUCCCUGAGCUUAACUUAGGAAUUGCAUUCGAUACUGGGAAGCUAGAGUAUGGGAGAGGAUGGUAGAAUUCCAGGUGUAGCGGUGAAAUGCGUAGAGAUCUGGAGGAAUACCGAUGGCGAAGGCAGCCAUCUGGCCUAAUACUGACGCUGAGGCACGAAAGCAUGGGGAGCAAACAGGAUUAGAUACCCCUGUAGUCCCUGUCUCUUAUAC